rnacentral:rRNA from 1 species
GUAGGCGGUCAAUUAAGUCAGGUGUGAAAGGCCCGGGCUUAACCCGGGUAUUGCACUUGAAACUGAUUGACUUGAGGACAGGCGAGGGAAGUGGAAUUCCUAGUGUAGCGGUGAAAUGCGUAGAUAUUAGGAAGAACACCAGUGGCGAAGGCGACUUCCUGGACUGUAACUGACGCUGAGGUGCGAAAGCGUGGGUAGCGAACAGGAUUAGAUACCCUGGUAGUCCACGCUGUAAACGAUGGAUACUAGGUGUAGGAGGUUUCAAUACCAUCUGUGCCGUAGUUAACGCAAUAAGUAUCCCGCCUGGGGAGUACGACCGCAAGGUUGAAACUCAAAGGAAUUGACGGGGGCCCGCACAAGCAGCGGAGCAUGUGGUUUAAUUCGAAGCAACGCGAAGAACCUUACCAGGGCUUGACAUCUCCUGCCAACUGUAGAAAUACAGCCUUCCCUUUUGGGACAGGAAGACAGGUGGUGCAUGGUUGUCGUCAGCUCGUGUCGUGAGAUGUUGGGUUAAGUCCCGCAACGAGCGCAACCCCUAUCUUUAGUUGCUAGCAGGUCAAGCUGAGCACUCUAAAGAGACUGCCGGUGACAAACCGGAGGAAGGUGGGGAUGACGUCAAAUCAUCAUGCCCCUUAUGCCCUGGGCGACACACGUGCUACAAUGGCCUGAACAGAGGGAAGCAAGACCGUAAGGUGGAGCGAAUCCCAUAAAACAGGUCCCAGUUCGGAUUGUGGGCUACAACUCGCCCACAUGAAGCCGGAGUUGCUAGUAAUCGCGGAUCAGCAUGUCGCGG